ACAUCCCUAAUGCGCCUUGAAAUGAGGAACUCAAAAGUCACGUGUAAAGAAAAAAUCUCUGUGUAGUGAUAUUGGACAUGUUUCUAUUUUUAACAAAUGACUGAACUUAUUUAUUUGUGGUUAUUAGGAAAGUAGAGGAACAUAGAAUAAAUGUGUAAAAACUAUGGAGCUAUUGAAUGUGUUCAAAGUAUUAAAUUUUCAAAGAACUUAUUGUGUUAAAAAGGGGAUAUUUUACCACAAGGAGCCACAUCACAAACGGAUGUUCGGGGUUUGCUAAUUUACGGAAAAAGUAAUCUCACUUCGUACCCCGAAAAUUUAACCACAUAUGUGAAAAUGUCACAGCUUCGAAACGAGCUAUCAUACAUAUCCAAGUUUACGAUAUGGACUGAGCUACAGGAAAAAACGUUACCAUUAUCGCCUAUGGAAAAACAAUUAAAGAUAUUGAGCCAAUUUACAAAAAGAUAAAUCAGAAGUUUCCAGAGUGAUCUAUGGAUGAUUUCACCUUAUACACCCGGGAAAAUUGUGAAAAUGAUGUUCCAGACAUAUCAUUACUUUUUAACCUGAGAUGACAAACUAGAGGUUUUAAAAGGUCCUGAAUAACUGAAAUGGACAAAAAUACACAGAUUUAUUCAGAAUGUCAUACCGAUGAAGAUCACAUAAAAAUAUUUGGAAAAAUCAGAACUAUGGAUUGCAAUAUGGGACAACAUCCCUAAUGCGCCUUGAAAUGAGGAACUCAAAAGUCACGUGUAAAGAAAAAAUCUCUGUGUAGUGAUAUUGGACAUGUUUCUAUUUUUAACAAAUGACUGAACUUAUUUAUUUGUGGUUAUUAGGAAAGUAGAGGAACAUAGAAUAAAUGUGUAAAAACUA